rnacentral:rRNA from 1 species
GUGGGGAAUAUUGGGCAAUGGGGGCAACCCUGACCCAGCGACGCCGCGUGAGGGAAGACGGCCUUCGGGUUGUAAACCUCUUUUGUACGGGAAGAAGGAAGUGACGGUACUGUACGAAUAAGUCCCGGCUAACUACGUGCCAGCAGCCGCGGUAAUACGUAGGGGACGAGCGUUGUCCGGAAUUACUGGGCGUAAAGGGCGCGCAGGCUGUGCUGCAAGUCAGCUGUGAAAUGUCUGGGCUUAACCCGGGCAUGCGGUUGAGACUGCAGUGCUGGAGUGCUGUAGAGGCAAGUGGAAUUCCCAGUGUAGCGGUGAAAUGCGUAGAUAUUGGGAAGAACACCGGUGGCGAAGGCGACUUGCUGGGCAGCAACUGACGCUGAGGCGCGAAAGCCAGGGGAGCAAACGGGAUUAGAUACCCUAGUAGUCC